rnacentral:rRNA from 1 species
UGGGGAAUUUUGGACAAUGGGGGCAACCCUGAUCCAGCCAUGCCGCGUGCGGGAAGAAGGCCUUCGGGUUGUAAACCGCUUUUAGCCGGGAAGAAAAGGCAAGGGUCAACACCUCUUGUUCUUGACGGUACCGGCGGAAUAAGCACCGGCUAACUACGUGCCAGCAGCCGCGGUAAUACGUAGGGUGCGAGCGUUAAUCGGAAUUACUGGGCGUAAAGCGUGCGCAGGCGGUUCGUCGAGUCUGAUGUGAAAGCCCCGGGCUCAACCUGGGAACGGCAUUGGAUACUGGCGGGCUGGAGUGUGGCAGAGGGGGUGGAAUUCCGCGUGUAGCAGUGAAAUGCGUAGAGAUGCGGAGGAACACCGAUGGCGAAGGCAGCCCCCUGGGCUGACACUGACGCUCAG